CACGUAGGGUGCGAGCGUUGUCCGGAAUUAUUGGGCGUAAAGAGCUCGUAGGCGGUCUGUCGCGUCGGUCGUGAAAACUUGGGGCUUAACCCUGAGCUUGCGGUCGAUACGGGCGGGCUGGGAUUCGGUAGGGGAGACUGGAAUUCCUGGUGUAGCGGUGAAAUGCGCAGAUAUCAGGAGGAACACCGGUGGCGAAGGCGGGUCUCUGGGCCGAUAUCGACGCUGAGGAGCGAAAGCGUGGGGAGCGAACAGG
rnacentral:rRNA from 1 species